GACGAACGCUGGCGGUGUGCUUAACACAUGCAAGUCGAACGGUAAGGCCCUUUCGGGGGUACACGCGUGGCGAACGGGUGAGUAACACGUGAGUAACCUGCCCUCAUCUCUGGGAUAACAGUCGGAAACGGUUGCUAAUACUGGAUAUGAGCUUGCAAGGCAUCUUGUGGGUUGGAAAGAUUUUUUUUGGUUGGGGAUGGACUCGCGGCCUAUCAGCUUGUUGGUGAGGUAGUGGCUCACCAAGGCUUCGACGGGUAGCCGGCCUGAGAGGGCGACCGGCCACAUUGGGACUGGGAUACGGCCCAAACUCCUACGUGAGGCAGCAGUGGGGAAUAUUGCACAAUGGACGGAAGUCGGAUGUAGCAACGCCGCGUGCGGGAUGACGGCCUUCGGGUUGUAAACCGCUUUCAAUUGUGACGAAGCUUUUUUGUGACGGUAGCAGUAGAAGAAGCACCGGCUAACUACGUG
rnacentral:rRNA from 1 species